AGAAAAGAAAAUAAGGGUUAGAAACUACCUUGUGCGGCGACGACAGGAACCAAACUAAAUUGCUACAGUGACCACAUUGAUUUCCAGAUUGAGAAAGCUCCGAAGCUUUGCAAAAAGGGAAGGAAAAAUCUUGAGAAUUGUGGCACGUGUUCGACACUCAAGUUGUUGCACUCUUUGUGGUGCAAAUUGAAUUCCGAGUACGAUAACAUCUCGUGGAGCAUUUUGAGUCCGAGCUUAGAGUGUCUUGGAGUUAUGGUGAGCUGCUUGGUUGUUUCGUGGUCCACACCUCCCUCCAUCUUUCAUUUAUACUGUUACUUUAGUAUUCAGACGGAAUAUUCCUUAUGUUUGGAAUUGACAUUUUAGUUUCAAACUUGCAUCAUAUUUAGGAGCUCUUGUACUUAUGACACCAUUUUGAAUGGUAUUUUUAGUUUUCUGCAUUUCGUAAUUGUAAAGAACUUAGUGUUGAAGAUUUUCACUUAGUGUUUACCUUUUAAUCAUUAGUUAAUUAAAAUUGAUAAAAUAUGUUGGAUUGGCUUACCUAUUGAUUGGAUACAUAGGUGCCAUCAAGACUUGUAAAUUUGGAUCGUGACAACUACCUUUUUCAUUAGUUGAGGGUAUAAUAGGUAAAAAAUGUCCUUCUUGAUUUGUCAAAAUGGACAACUAAUUAGAGACAACUAUAAAAGAAAAAGUGUACAAUA